rnacentral:rRNA from 1 species
AUUGAACGCUGGCGGCAGGCCUAACACAUGCAAGUCGAACGAGUGGCGGACGGGUGAGUAAUGUCUGGGAAACUGGCUGAUGGAGGGGGCUAACUACUGGAAAAGGUAGCUAAUACCGCAUAACAUCCGAUGUGCCCAGAUGGGAUUAUCUGGUUGGGGGGGUAACGGCUCACCAAGGGGACGCUCCCUAGCUGGGCUGAGAGGAUGACCAGCCACACUGGGACUGAGACACGGUCCAGACUCCUACGGGAGGCAGCAGUGGGGAAUAUUGCACAAUGGGCGCAAGUCUGAUGCAGCCAUGCCGCGUGUAUGAAGAAGGCCUUCGGGUCGUAAAGCACUUUCAGCGGGGAGGCGUUACCCACAGAAGAAGCACCGGCUAACUCCGUGCCAGCAGCCGCGGUAAUAC